UGGUCAAGACAAUGAACUCGACCAGGAAGACAAUCCGAAUCUUGACAAUGAUCUCGAUGAUGAAGACAAUCCUGUAAAGAAAACAAUACUUCCUAACCUUGAUGCACUUAUUGCGGCUUGCAUUGUCUUUUCAUGUUUAAUAAGGUGGCAAGGAGGAAAUUGGUGAAUUGUCCUGGAGGAAGGGAGCUCAGCAUUUUCUAGUUACUAUCAAAAUAUAUCAAGGAUCCUUCAUCAGCUAGUAAGUUUGUUGAUAUCAUGCUCCUUUUGCUAACAAAAGGAGUUCAAGAUUGUGGUUUGUAUUCCAUGAAUAUUGAUCUAGACCUCUAAUGUGUGCUUUUUGGCAUUUUCGAGUUUUGGUUAUUUUGCCAUUAGGAGCUUUUUAUCAUGUGUUGCAGAUGCAUGUGUGGAAGUUUUGAAGGUAAUUCAACAAAUGAUAGAAAAAUUAGGAAGUGAAGUACAACAAAAUUGUGAACGCAAUUUCUCCGCUUCUUACUUCCAUUAGUCUGGAUGUAAGGAUGUCUGUUUGUGAUCUUCUUGAUGCUCUUGCUGAAACUGAUUCUUCUCUGGUUACUGUGGCGGAGCUCAUUCGUGCGCUGAAUUCAACUGCUGCUAUAGGGAUGGGUGGUCUUGACUGUGACAGUAUUAUUAAUGCUUAUGAAAGAUCAACUAAGACUUCUUUUACACUGUUAGAGAGAAGCAUGCCUUGUUCCUUUUGUCUCAUGUUGUCCACGAGUUGUCAUCAGAAGAAUUGGUUUUGAGGCAAAGCAGAUCUAAGUUAGUGCUUUCAGUUGUUGAAUUCUCUGCUAAAAUUCUUGAUCUAGAAAUGAAAUCUGAUGAUCAAACUUGGUAUGAAUGGUGCAUUAAACGAACAAUUAACAAGUUCCUUCUUAAACAUAUGGGAGAUGUAGUGAACAACGAAGCUCCUAUUCAAAAGGUAUGUAUCGAUCUAUUAUAGGAAAUGGUGUUGAAGCUUCCAAAUGUGCCAAGCCUUACAUCAUUUAGAACUCUGUGCAGUGAAGAUGCAGAACAUGAUUUCUUUAAAAAUAUUAUGCACUUGCAGGUUAGUUCUUUGAGCCAUUUCGCAUGAAUUGUUAGUAUAUUG